UGCGCAUUACAUCACUUUUCCCCAGUGCGAUUGGCUCCAGGUCGACUCCCCUCUGCCUGCCGAGCUUCAAUAGCAAACCCGAGCAUCCGAGAGGCAGUGGCGUUUCAAAACCGCCUCACCAUCAGCACCAGCCGCCCCAUCUUCAUUAUCAUCAUUAUUUUAAUUCUAACGUCUAAACUGCGCGGGUGUGCGCCUUUUCCUUUUCUUGCACUGGCGGCUCGUUUCGAGGAUGGCCGAGAGCGAGGCAGACACGCCGAGCACGCCGAUUGAGUUUGAGAGCAAAUACUUCGAGUUUGAUGGAGUGCGGCUGCCGCCCUUCUGCAGAGGGAAGAUGGAGGAGAUCGCUAACUUCUCCCUCAGAAGUAGCGACAUAUGGAUUGUCACCUACCCAAAGUCAGGCACCAGUCUACUUCAGGAGGUUGUGUAUCUAGUGAGUCAGGGAGCAGACCCUGACGAGAUCGGCCUUAUGAACAUUGAUGAACAGCUGCCUGUCUUAGAAUAUCCACAGCCUGGGCUAGACAUUAUCCAGGAGCUGACAUCUCCUCGUUUGAUCAAAAGCCAUCUUCCCUACCGGUUCCUCCCUACAGCCAUGCACAACGGAGAGGCCAAGGUGAUCUACAUGGCUCGGAACCCUAAGGACCUGGUGGUGUCCUACUACCAGUUCCACCGCUCUCUCAGGACCAUGAGCUACCGGGGAACCUUCCAGGAGUUCUGCCGGCGCUUCAUGAAUGACAAGCUGGGAUAUGGUUCCUGGUUUGAACAUGUUCAGGAAUUUUGGGAACAUCGCAUGGACUCUAAUGUCCUCUUCUUGAAAUAUGAAGACAUGUACAAGGACCUGGGUACACUGGUGGAACAGUUGGCUCGGUUCCUGGGUGUUUCCUGUGACAAGGCUCAGCUGGAGGGAAUGGUGGAGAGCUGCAACCAGCUCAUUGAGCAGUGCUGCAACUCGGAGGCUCUGUCCAUCUGCAGGGUGCAUGGAAGAUAGGUUUAAAACAGAGCUGGCAGUCAGUCUGAUGUGUCUCAUACGCACCACAGCAGGUCGCGUGGGUUUGUGGAAGGAUGUCUUCACGGUGUCCAUGAACGAAAAAUUCGAUGACGUGUACAGACAGAAGAUGGGCAAAUCUGACCUGACCUUUGACUUCAGCCUGUGAUGUCACCCCAGCCCCGUACCGCCUCCCUCCUCACGCUGAUCUACGUCGGUACAGUCAACAAGUGCUCACCUCCUGCCAAAACCCACGCUCUUGUGUCUCUGUUCAAUCAACCAGUCUGAAGUUUAAUGCUACAGUCUUGACAGUGGGAUCAUACUAAAGGACUUUCUUUUCACAAUGCAACAAAAAAAGUCAACAAAUCACGCCAUUAUGGACUAAUUCAGAAUUAUUAAGAGUUUAUGGAAUUUUCAAUCUCAAUCAAUAGUUAAACCAAACCUCCCUCAACCCCUACCUCCACAGUAUGUGCAGACUGGUAUGUAUGUUAUGGGUAUGCACUGACCAGGGCUUAACCAGUUUAAAAACUCAAUACCACUGAGCUGAAGUGUUAAUUCAUAACACAAUUACAUUAGGAUAUUUGUGAUGGAGAUACACUGCAACAUAUAAAAUUUUCUGUAUUUAUUUAUGUCUGUGAAGGUUCUCAGUCAUUCAGGUCAUGGUAAUCCGAAAAGCGUUGAAUAAGGUCAGCUGGACUUGUAGGAUUUUCCUACAAGUCUAUUCAACGAUUUAUUUACUUCAUUCCUUUCCUUUAGUGGUUUUCAUUCUAUGGUUGUCCCAAGGAAAUGUGUUGGUUGUGUGCAAGGUGUGCAAGAAAAGGUAGCCCAGUGUGCUCAAUGUGAUAUUUAACACAUAAUGGCUGAUGAGGUCUUUUUAAACAUUUUUAUUGGGGAACAGCAGUGCUGAUGAAGCUCUGUUAUUAAUUGUGUUUUUUAAAACUAAGUACACAGACGGGAAGGACGCUCCAAUCCGUGGCUAAUAGAAAAACCCUACCUUGGAUCAUUUUCAUUUGAACUGAAAGGAAUUGAUGUGACUUGGAUAUCAUUGCACUUUAGGUACAUACUGUAUGUCUGGCCAGACCCAGCGCAUACUGGAUAAAGUACAUAUACCCAUAGGCUUGAAAUGCUUCAGGAUCCUCCAGGAAGAGCUGACGGAUGUAGCCAGGGAGCUAACUUCCAUAGGUUGUGUAACUCAAUGUGGCCAAGCCCACCAGAAAUCUAACCUGAAAGCUUUAACAAAACAUUUUAUUUCACACUUUGGUUGCUGUGGCCAUAAGUGUACCCUGUGCCACCUAGAGUGGCUUUAUUUUUGCUUGUUUGCCAUUUGGUGCUGGAGGAAUUAAUUAUUCUGGUCCUGCAAAAUGCUAAUGGGCUAAGUUACCAGAGUGAGUGGCUGAAGCCGGGUAGGCUGUGUUUUUGCUGAAAACCAAAACUGCUCAAAGGUCAUUAGGUAAUAGUCACAGAUUUUGUAAACAUACACUUUAAAGUACAAAUAUUUACAUCAGUGUUAACUUAAAGAAGUCACGCUGAGAAGCUAAGACAGUUGACUGUACUGUGUAUCAGUGUAUAUCAGCCACAAAUAUCUUGCCUGAUAUUUCUGGUUAUCAGUUAGACGACCCCUGUAUUUGAUUUUAAUGUCAUGAGAUGCUAGAAUUCUUGAGGGAAGCCCAGAUGAAUAAAACUUUUUUUUUUUUGGUUUGUCACUGCGUUGGUCAGGCGGCACACAUAGUUAUUAGCGGAGCCGCAGAAAUAACAUUACAUCCUGUUACUGAAAAAUUACACCAUGCAGCUGCAACAAGGGAAAAAUACCAAAACCAUCCCAUUAUACACAAUUACACAAUGUAUCAGUUUGAUGCUUUGUGCCUCCAUUGUUGUCUUGUUGCAGUGUUCAAGCUGAAUCCAAACCUGUAGAGAAGAAGCUUAUCAUACCCAAUUCAAACAAGCAGCUCGGCGUCACAGCUGCGUGUUUUAUUUGUUGUUCUUGCUCGAGGGGCUGCGGAAUUUUCAGCCUCCAUCACCAGUGCAGUGUAAGAGCUUAUUGUGUGUGUGCGCGCGAGGGAGAGACAAAGAGAGGGAGAAAGAUGCCAGAUUCAACGUGUAGAAUACAUUUUUGCCAUCAAGUAAAUCUGCAAAGACUGUAAUCUGAUAAAAAAUCCUACACUAUUGGAUUAAAGGACAUGCUGGUGGUGUAUUGAUAAUCCUGUAUCUUCAGGAUUUGGACAGAAAUCCACUGUGGACAAGUUUGCCCUCUAGUGGUCAGAAUAAGCAGUAGAGAAAUAAAUUGCCCUUGAGAGAAACACAGAAUGGGCUCAUUUAUUAAUAUAUGCUAUAUAUGCUAGUCAGCACAAUGUAACUCUUGAACCUUAAAGACCUCGCACACCAACACAAUUCAAGAGUACCUUGCUCCAGAGAAAAUGGGAGGCCUCUGAUAUGUCAAAAUGUAACCUGGCAAGCCUUCAGAAACUCUGAAUGUGUGUCUUUCCAGUGUAAACAUGCUCUGCCACCACUGAUCAGUUGUUUCCCUCUCUUUCUCUCUCAUUUCUAAGUAAUGUCAAGGAUAGGAGCGAGCAGAGUAUUAACCCAUAACCAGCAUUAACUGUGUUCUGCUACUCACUGUCAGGUCACAACAGCACCACUAUCUGAGGUCAGACUAUUAUCUCGAGGCAUCACUGUCACUCCAGUUCCUCCUCUACUUCUUCUUCGUCCUCCUCUUCCCGUGUAACUGCAGUAGUUCAGUCCAGCAGACCAGUCCUGCCCUACCAGACACUUGUGAAUGUCUUUAUUGUGUGGAUGUAAACAACGAUCUCAGCAUACACUUGUCACGCCGUCUUUUUUUACGGCCGCACAUUCUUUCUUUUUAUUGUUUUCUCUGUCACUGUUUACAGCCGUUGGCAAGGCUUCAGCCGGCCCAUCUUCACAUUUAUGGUUUGUUUGGGUUUUUAUACAUGCCUGUGUCUGUUUCCAGGUCAUUGUAUUUGACAUGCUUUGCGUGCUUGUUUAUUAGUAAAGUCGUGUCUUCAGACAA